AGCAGUAGGGAAUCUUCCGCAAUGGACGAAAGUCUGACGGAGCAACGCCGCGUGAGUGAUGAAGGCUUUCGGGUCGUAAAACUCUGUUGUUAGGGAAGAACAAGUGCUAGUUGAAUAAGCUGGCACCUUGACGGUACCUAACCAGAAAGCCACGGCUAACUACGUGCCAGCAGCCGCGGUAAUACGUAGGUGGCAAGCGUUAUCCGGAAUUAUUGGGCGUAAAGCGCGCGCAGGUGGUUUCUUAAGUCUGAUGUGAAAGCCCACGGCUCAACCGUGGAGGGUCAUUGGAAACUGGGAGACUUGAGUGCAGAAGAGGAAAGUGGAAUUCCAUGUGUAGCGGUGAAAUGCGUAGAGAUAUGGAGGAACACCAGUGGCGAAGGCGACUUUCUGGUCUGUAACUGACACUGAGGCGCGAAAGCGUGGGGAGCAAACAGGAUUAGAUACCCUGGUAGUCCACGCCGUAAACGAUGAGUGCUAAGUGUUAGAGGGUUUCCGCCCUUUAGUGCUGAAGUUAACGCAUUAAGCACUCCGCCUGGGGAGUACGGCCGCAAGGCUGAAACUCAAAG
rnacentral:rRNA from 1 species